rnacentral:rRNA from 1 species
GUCCUAGCCGUAAACGUUGGGCACUAGGUGUGGGAGGUAUCGACCCCUUCCGUGCCGCAGCUAACGCAUUAAGUGCCCCGCCUGGGGAGUACGGCCGCAAGGUUGAAACUCAAAGGAAUUGACGGGGGCCCGCACAAGCGGUGGAGCAUGUGGUUCAAUUCGACGCAACGCGAAGAACCUUACCAGGGCUUGACAUCCUCGGAAUCCCGCCGAAAGGCGGGAGUGCCCGCAAGGGAGCCGAGAGACAGGUGGUGCAUGGCUGUCGU